rnacentral:rRNA from 1 species
CCUACGGGUGGCAGCAGUGAGGAAUAUUGGUCAAUGGGCGCAAGCCUGAACCAGCCAUGCCGCGUGAAGGAUGAAGGCCCUACGGGUCGUAAACUUCUUUUGUACGGGACGAAACCACCGAUCGUGAUCGGUGCUGACGGUACUGUACGAAUAAGCAUCGGCUAACUCCGUGCCAGCAGCCGCGGUAAUACGGAGGAUGCAAGCGUUAUCCGGAUUCAUUGGGUUUAAAGGGUGCGUAGGCGGGAUAAUAAGUCAGUGGAGAAAGCUUACGGCUUAACUGUAGAAUUGCCAUUGAUACUGUUAUUCUUGAGGGCAGUUGAGGUAGCUGGAAUGUGUGGUGUAGCGGUAAAAUGCUUAGAUAUCACACAGAACACCGAUUGCGAAGGCGGGUCACAAAACUGCAACUGACGCGGAGGCACGAAAGCGGGGGGAGCAAACAGGAUGAGAUCCCCUGGUAGU